GGGUAACUCCUAAAUAAAUUAUUUUCUUAUUCCCACAUACAUCGAUUAUUGCUCAUCAACUGCGUUCUCAAAAUCUUGUCCAAUCUCUCUUUCACGAUCUACACGGAGGUUUUUGGUUCAUUCUGGAGAUUCAAUAGCAAUGGCGAACAAACCUCAGAUCCGCACCAAUAGUUCGGCGCUCAUAGCUAUGAUCGCCGACGAGUUUAGCAAAUUUUAAGUAUAAGAGAUGGAAUCCAACCUUCAAAAGAAUUUCCAUUACCAUACCAUCUUACUUGAGUAUAGUAAAUUGGUAAGACCAGAGCUUCAACUUGGUCAUGUUAGUUAAAUUUGCAUUCGUUUAUAGCAUAAAACUGCUCCAUUAGUUUUGAAUUUGAUUUACUGACCCGAGAUUAAUGGUGCAUAUGCUGUCAAUGGGUCCUAUAGUGGAGAGGGCAAAAAUAUAUAGGGUAAUUUUGAGAAUUUGAUAGGGGCAUUUAGUGAAUAACUUGAGCUUUAUUUAGAAAUUAGUAGUAUAAAAUAUAUAGACGAGUGAGGGGGGCUUUUGCCCCACCUAGCCCAAAGCUGGCUCAUCCCCUGCUUGAAGCAGACCAAUAGUUGCAUGUCACUCCUAAAAGAUAAUUUUAGGUAUUACUGUUAUUAGGCUUAGGCAGCAGUCACAUAUGCUUUUAGAUGAAAUGCUUUAUGUGUUUUACUGGGAUUCUGUCCCCUUUACUGUUUGUUUUUCUAUAUUUCUAAUGUAA